rnacentral:rRNA from 1 species
UACGUAGGGGGCAAGCGUUGUCCGGAAUCAUUGGGCGUAAAGAGCGUGUAGGCGGCUCGGUAAGUCCGCUGUGAAAGUCCAGGGCUCAACCCUGGAAUGCCGGUGGAAACUGUCGGGCUAGAGUCCGGAAGAGGUGAGUGGAAUUCCUGGUGUAGCGGUGAAAUGCGUAGAUAUCAGGAGGAACACCGGUGGUGUAGACGGCUCACUGGACCGUAACUGACGCUGAGACACGAAAGCGUGGGUAGCAAACAGG